rnacentral:rRNA from 1 species
UGGGGAAUAUUGCGCAAUGGGGGAAACCCUGACGCAGCGACGCCGCGUGAGCGAAGAAGGCCUUAGGGUUGUAAAGCUCUGUUUUAAGGGACGAAUGUCGUGGGGAGUAAUAUGCUCUGCGAAUGACGGUACCUUAAGAGGAAGCCCCGGCUAACUACGUGCCAGCAGCCGCGGUAAGACGUAGGGGGCGAGCGUUGUCCGGAAUUACUGGGCGUAAAGAGCACGUAGGCGGGAACUUAAGUCAGGUGUGAAAGACCGGGGCUCAACUCCGGGGUUGCACUUGAAACUGGGUGGCUUGAGGGCAGGAGAGGAGAGCGGAAUUCCUGGUGUAGCGGUGAAAUGCGUAGAGAUCAGGAGGAAUACCAGUGGCGAAGGCGGCUUUCUGGACUGUCCCUGACGCUGAGGUGCGAAAGCGUGGGUAGCAAACAG